rnacentral:tRNA from 1 species
GUAAAUAUAGUUUAACAAAAACUUUAGAUUGUGAAUCUAAUAAUAGAAUGUGAUAUUCUUAUUUACC